GGGGGCGACUGGUUUCGACAUGGUAUGUUUGAACUGAGGAGCAGGUCGUGGUCUCCUCGCCACGUUAAACAGGGGUACCGUCAAGUUAAUUGGCAAGAACAACUCUCAGAGCGCUCCGGCGCUCGCCAUGGCUGCCUAAACAGCACCUGGCACGUCAACUCCGGGUUGUCCCCGGCUCGGACGUGACGUCAUUUUAGGGGACUGCAUCGAAGCACGUGGACGGUAUGGCUUCGAUAAAGAUCGAACCGACUAGGAACCCUAACGUGUGCCCGUUGACCGACGGGUUCCGAAUUCCGAUAAUGGGAUAAGCUUGUAGAGCCUGAGGGAUAAUAUAGUAUGGACCGGAGUUCGAUUCUCCGCGCCUCCACCA
rnacentral:tmRNA from 1 species